rnacentral:tRNA from 1 species
GUUCAAAUAAUUUAAAAAAAAAUAUAGGUCUGUGGUUCCUAAAAUGUACGGUGUGCUUUGGACA